rnacentral:lncRNA from 1 species
AAGUGCCAUUAUGUGUAAAAGGACCUUGUGCAUUAUGACAGGACAUAGUUGUCUGUCUUUCUGGUCAGAGUCUGCAUCUCGGUUGCUGUGAUAAAAUGCUGACCAAAAACAAACUUGGAAGGGGAGAGGGUUUAUCUGGUUAGAGCCCAUCAUGGAGGGAAGAAGGCAAGGCAGGAACCUGAAGCAGAGGCCAGGGGAGAACACUUCUUAAUGGCAUCCUUCCCAUAGCUUGCUCAGCUACCUCUCUUAUGCCGUCAGGACCAGCUGCCUAGGAAUGGUGCCACCCACAGUGGGCUGGGCCCUCCCUCACAAACAACAAUCAAGAAAAAUGCACACAGACAUGGCCACAGGCCAGUCUGGUGGAGGCAGCUCCUCCUUUGAGGUUCCCUCCUCCAAGCUGACUGUGUGUCAGGCUGACAACUGAAGCAGACUAUGACACAUCCCAAUAACAAAUACACCCACAGGUGCCUAUGUGCUAGCUAGCAUGUGACAUAUCGAGGUGUAGAAAGAAGAAUAGCCUUAACUAAACUUGGAAUGGUGGUGCAUUGCCUGUAAUUCUAGCCCCCAGGAGACAGGCCGGAAGAUCAUGAGUUCAAAGCUAACCUGGGAAACUUAGUAAGACACUCUAUCUCAAAAAUCCAAGGGCUGAGGAUAUAGCUUAACGACAGAGGGCUUACUUGGCAUGCACAAAGCCUUGGGUUCAAUCUUUGUCACCACCAAAUAUGUCAUAAUAAGCCCUAUUUAUUAUUAUUGAACAUCCCAGCACCAGGGAGAGAGAGAAGCAGAGGGUUACAAGAUCAAGACCAACUCGGGCUAUAUAAGGAGACCUUGUCUCAAAAAACUAAAAAUAAUUAAAGAAUAAAUUGAGCUCUCGCACCAAUAUUCCAUAUCUUGAGAGACUGUAUCUUAAGGGGAAGUCUUAUUUCCCAACCCUUUUUUAUUAACACAUACAUACAUACAUACAUACAUACGUGUAUAUGUAUGUGUAUGUGUGUGUGUGUGUGUGUGUACAUGUGUAUGUCUUAGUGUUCUAUUGCUGUGAACAGACACCAUGACCAUGGCAACUUUUUUUUUUCAAAGAUUUCUUUAUUAUUAUAUGUAAGUACAUUGUAGCUGUCUUUAGACACACCAGAAGAGGGCAUCAGAUCUCAUUAUGGAUGGUUGUGAGCCACCAUGUGGUUGCUGGGAUUUGAAAUCAGGACCUUUGGAAGAGCAGUGAGUGAGUGCUCUUAACCACUGAGCCACCUCACCAGCCCCAUGGCAACUCUUAUAAAGGAAAACAUUUAAUUGGGGCUGGCUUACAGUUCAGAGAUUAAGUUUAUUAUUGUCACGGUGGGAAGCAUGGUGGCACACAGGCAGACAUGGUGCUGGAGGAGCUGAGAGUUCUACAUCUGGAUCAGCAGGCAGCAGGAAGAAGCGUCACUAGGCCAGGUUUGAGCUUCUGAAACCUAGAAGCCCAUCCCCACGGACACUCAUCCUCCUACAAGGCCACAUAAACUAACAAGUGUCUAUGGGGGCCAUUUUUACUCAAAUCACCCCAAUAUGUGAGUGUGCGCAUCCAUAUUCUUGGGAGCCUAGAGGCCAGAAGUCUCAUCUCCGUGCUAAUCCCAGGCUUGAUCUACACAGGGACCUCACACCAUAGUUGAUACUUUUGGCUAAGAAGAAAAGAAGUGGGUUCUAGCCAUGUUUGAUGACUUCUGUAGAGGAAGGAAUUUUCUAACCACUUGAUAAUACCCUUUCCUUGUUAAAUAAUUACUUCUCAUGUAGUAAAUUAAUAACAGGAGUCAUAACAGAGACUGCUUUUCUCAGGUAAUUUCUUUUUAAAGAGAUGUUCUUAUUUUAAGUGUAUGGAUGUUUUGCCUGCAUGUAUGUCUGAUGUACAGUACGCUCAGAGGGCAGAAGAAGGCAUCAGAUCCCCUGAGACUGAUGUUACGAAUGGCUGUGGGUCACCAUGUAAGUGCUGGAAACUGAACGUGGGCCCUCUGCAACAGCAGCCAGCGCUCCUAACCACUGAGCCACUCUCCAGACGCAUAGUCUCUUUCUUAUGCCCCCAGUGGUAACUCCAGAUGGAGCUGUUCUUUGAGUUUUUCUUGUUAAAGAUCUUGUU